rnacentral:rRNA from 1 species
AUUGAACGCUGGCGGCAGGCCUAACACAUGCAAGUCGAGCGAGCGGCGGACGGGUGAGUAAUGCCUGGGAAUUGCCCAGUCGAGGGGGAUAACAGUUGGAAACGACUGCUAAUACCGCAUCCGACUGGUUUGCCUAGCUGGGAUUAGCUAGUGGGUGGGGUAAUGGCUCACCAAGGCGACGAUCCCUAGCUGGUCUGAGAGGAUGGUCAGCAACACUGGAACUGGGACACGGUCAAACCUCCUACGGGGGGCAGCGGUGGGGAAUAUUGCACAAUGGGGGAAACCCUGAUGCAGCCAUGCCGCGUGUGUGAAGAAGGCCUUCGGGUGGUAAAGCACUUUCAGCGAGAAGGCGUUACUCGCAGAAGAAGCACCGGCUAACUCCGUGCCAGCAGCCGCGGUAAUAC